GCCGUGGCCGUGGCUGUUUACCACCCGGUGCGGAAUCGUUCCCACGUGAACACGUGGUGUGGCUGCCGCAGUUCACAGCGGCUGGACGCCGUCCCGGUGGGGGUGGGGUAAGAGCCGGUGGUCCCGGGCGCCUCCCCCGCCGCCUGGCGCUGCCCCGAAGCGCUUGUGCCGAAUCACGGCUGGCACCGGUGGCCUCUUCCAGCCUGGCAGAAUCGCGCACGUUCGUUCUCCCUCCUGCCGAGGCAGGCGGUGCCCGAGCGUCCCGCGGGCGCGGCCAGGCGCCCCUCUGCCCGAAGGAGCUCCCGUCUGACCUCGGAAGCGGAGGCACGUCUUGCUUCACCAGCAGGAACCCCUCUCCGGCUUUCUCCCCCUCGCCUUCCCGGGUGACGAGCAGCUGCAGCGAGCCGGCGGACCGGAUGCCUCAGCCCGGGAAUCCGGGGCUCUUCCUGCGUAAAGAGGAGGGGCCUGGGCUUCCAGAACCACUGACAGAUGUCUGUGGGAAAGGGCUUCCACACCUGCCAAACCGCCAGCUUCCUUUCUCAUUCUCGAGGGCUCGAGCCGUGAGAUCUAAUUCUGAUUCUGGAGAAUUAGAAGCAACAGGACACGGGACGCAGGCAUCCAGGACAAGUCCUGUAUUUGGGCCGCGUUUGGUGCUACGUAUGCAGAUGGGAAAGACCGGAGAAGGGACAGAUUUGGGCGGGAGAGAGAAGACUCCAGAGUCCACUUCACAUGAACCAAUCACUGGCAGUGGAAUCUGAGGUCAUAUUCCAGCACGGAGAGAUUAUAUCUCUUGCUCAUUCCUUAUCUGCAUGGCCUAUCUAUUUAUCAAAGAAAAUUAAAUCGGUCUGCCAAGAUUCGAUCUUCAAAUGCCAUUGAGGUGAGUGCAAAUUGAUUGUGUGCUGUUGCGGGACUCAUUUUCUACUUGUGGGAAGGACUUGUGCCGUGGCUUGCUUGGGAGCUGUGUAGGACAGGGCAAGCAAAAUCAGAGAGAUCUAACAAGACUUGAGGCCAUGCUUUGCACCAGGUAGAAUGCCAGGUGCUUUGCGAGGAUUUGCUUGCUUAUUAUUCACAACAGCUCAGAGAGGUUGGUAUGAUAAUUCUUGUUUUCCACACAAGGAAACUGAGGCCCAGGAGGCAGAGUAUCUCGUACAAAGCCAUACAGCUGGUUGGUGGCAGAGGUGGCACGUGAACUCCAGUCAUUCUUGUGGACCCCCAGCAGUUAUAAAUGGGUGAUACCUUGGACAAUAGUGCAUUCUGGGAAAGACUUUUAAACUCCUCAGGCUUCAGAUGUCACCUGGGUACAAAUGACUGCAAAAUUUGUAACUCUGCCUUCUGAGAUCCAGUUCCCAUCUCCACCUGCCUCCUGGACGCUUCCACCUGGACAUGAUGCCAAGAACUAUGGCUCAGCACGGAAAGUCAAACAACCACCAUCCCUUGGGGACCCAGGGCCCCUCCCCCUCUCAUCGCUGUCCUGUGUUUCUCAGGUAGCACCACAUUUUUUCAGCCUUCUCAAGAUCUGAGUUAUGUUAAGCCCCUCCCUGGAGAUUCUUGCUCUAAAAUAGUUUUUGCCUCAUUUCUCAUUUUCCGUCUCCACCACCCUUUUAGCCUUUGUUGCCUCGGGCUUAGAUUAUUGCAACAGCGAAAUACCUCUUUUAUUAGCUGUCACGGCUUAGACACUACCUACUCAAGGCAGUUCCUUAAAAGUCAAUUUUGGGGGCGCCUGGGUGGCCCUGUCAGUUGAGCGUCCGACUUCAGCUCAGGUCAUGAUCUCACAGUCCGUGAGUUCGAGCCCCGCGUCAGGCUCUGUGCUGACGGCUCGGAGCCUGGAGCCUGCUUCACAUUCUGUGUCUCCCUCUCUCUCUGUCCCUCCCCCAUUCAUGCUCUGUCUCUCUCUGGAUCAAAAACAAAUAAACAUUUAAAAAAAAAAUUUUUUUUUUUAAAGUCAAUUUUGUCCACAUAUUGAAAUUACCUGGGAAUGUAAAAAGUACUAAGAACUAUCUAGAGGUUGGGGUCUCACCUUUCCAGCAUUACAGCGGCCUCAUCAGGAUUAUUUGUAUCUCUGAGACCAGCGAUGUUGUCCUAAGGCUCUGAGGAUCGGAUGUAGUCUCCAGGAAGGGUAACUCUAGCCCUACUCCUGUCUAAACUUUGGCCCGACACACACAGCGGAGAAGAAGGCACAGGACAGUUUGUGACAAGAAGCCCAGGUGGGCUGGUGGACACCAACUUGUAACCAGGACUAUGGAGCAGUCGUCGUCCCACAAUAUUCCACAUCAGCCGGAGAAAAUCUGUGUUUGGGUUAAAGUUCUUCCCUGACCGUCCCCACUGAUGGCUGUCUUCCCCUCGGUACUCCCGGGGGACCUCUACACAAGUCAUUUGUACCACCUUAUGACAUCUCUUUUGUUGUUAUUUUCAUGCGUUUACAACACCCACUCUAUGAACUCCUUUAGGA